rnacentral:rRNA from 1 species
AUACGGGGGAUGCAAGCGUUAUCCGGAUUUAUUGGGUUUAAAGGGUGCGCAGGCGGGCGAUUAAGUCAGCGGUGAAAGGCUCGGGCUCAACCGGAGCAGUGCCGUUGAUACUGGUUGGCUUGAAUGCGGUCAAGGCCGGCGGAAUGUGGCGUGGAGCGGUGAAAUGCAUAGAUAUUCCACAGAACACCGAUAGCGAAGGCAGCUGGCCGGGCCUGCAUUGACGCUGAGGCACGAAAGCGUGGGGAUCGAACAGGAUUAGAUACCCUGGUAGUCCACGCUGUAAACGAUGGACACUCGUUGUCGGCGACAGACAGUCGGCGGCCAAGCGAAAGUGAUAAGUGUCCCACCUGGGGAGUACGGUCGCAAGGCUGAAACUUAAAGGAAUUGACGGGG